GACGAACGCUGGCGGCGUGCUUAAUACAUGCAAGUCAACUUGACUUUAGAUAGCAAUAUCGAAAAGUAGGGUGGCGCACGGGUGCGUAACGCGUAGGUAAUCUGCCCUGAGGUCUGACAUAACCCGUCGAAAGGCGGGCUAACAUCAGAUGAUAUAUAAUCACGACAUCGUGGAAAUAUCAAAUCUUCGGAGCCUUGGGAUGAGCCUGCGUCUGAUUAGGUAGUUGGCGGAGUAAUAGCCCACCAAGCCUACGAUCAGUAGCUGGUCUGAGAGGAUGAUCAGCCACACUGGAACUGAGACACGGUCCAGGCUCCUACGGGAGGCAGCAGUAAGGAAUAUUGCUCAAUGGGGGAAACCCUGAAGCAGCAACGCCGCGUGAAGGAUGAAAUACUUUUGUAUGUAAACUUCUGUAAGAUGGGAAAAAUAUUCUCCUCGGGAGAAUUGAUUGUACAUCAGAGUAAGCCCCGGCUAACUACGUGCCAGCAGCC
rnacentral:rRNA from 1 species